rnacentral:rRNA from 1 species
UACGGGGGGGGCAAGCGUUGUUCGGAAUUACUGGGCGUAAAGGGCUCGUAGGCGGCCAACUAAGUCGGAUGUGAAAUCCCCAGGCUUAACCUGGGAACUGCAUCCGAUACUGGAUGGCUUGAAUCCGGGAGAGGGAUGCGGAAUUCCAGGUGUAGCGGUGAAAUGCGCAGAUAUCAGGAGGAACACCGGUGGCGAAGGCGGGUCUCUGGGCCGAUAUUGACGCUGAGGAGCGAAAGCGUGGGGAGCAAACAGG